CAACAACCUGACCUGAGAUGACCUCAGACCACAUUUAGUCUUUUCUUUGGACAGACGAAGUUUAAAGAAUUCUUCUCUGCACCUGAAAGACGUCUCUGAGGAACGUCUCUUCUGCUGUGACACAGGACGUCUCUGAGGAACGUCUCUUCUGCUGUGACGCAGGACGUCUCUGAGGAACGUCUCUUCUGCUGUGACGCAGGACGUCUCUGAGGAACGUGGCUUCGACACUAACUUCCCGUCUCCGUCUCCCGCUAACGCUCUUCAUGUGGUUCAGCAGCUCCGGUUCCAGGUGCUGCCAGAGAGGAGGCAUCAAAACACAACAAGCUGUGUCUGGGGAUCUGUCCUGGAAAUGAUCCGAGGCAGAAACUGAUCCACACAUGGAAAAGAGACGUGACCAUCAAACAUCGAAACAGACGGAGCUGCAGGAACCAGUGGUCAGCAGCGAGGAGCUGAUGGUCCACUUCACAUCCUUCACAAACAGAAACACUGCGUCUGGUAGGUUCUACUGGAACAAGAUUUAAAACACAGCUGCACCACACACACACACACACACACACACACACACACACACACACACUCUGAAACCUUCGUCAUGAAGGAUAAAAAAAACUAAGAUGACACAGAUAUUUCAAAUAUUGUGAGUAUAUUUCCCCACAGAAACAAAUGUGAAUACUAUGAAUCUGCUAAAGUCCCGUUAACGGUUUUAACACAAUAAAUAUCUUGUGAUGAUAAAGUACUGAAUGUGUUGAUGCAGCUCUAACGACUUCAGAUGCUCAGAUAUUCAGGUUUUAUUUUCACCUUCAAAUGUCAUAAUGAAAUCGUUGCUGCUCAUGAUCAGCAGGAAUCAUUUUCUGCAUUAACGUCUUUCCACAAGAUAUUGAUCAUGUGUGAUUAUCUAAUAGGACUUUGGUGCUGCGCAUCUCGUUUGAACCAGUUUGGUUCACUGGACAAACAGAGACCAAGUCUUGUUCCUGUAAAGAAGAAACAGCUGCUCU